rnacentral:snRNA from 1 species
AUCGCUUCUCGGCCUUUUGGCUAAGAUCAAGUGUAGUCCUGUCUAGAUUAUUGUUAUUAGUUCGUUUGAAGGAAUCGAGAAAUACGAUAU